rnacentral:rRNA from 1 species
UACGAAGGGGGCUAGCGUUGCUCGGAAUCACUGGGCGUAAAGCGCACGUAGGCGGAUCUUUAAGUCAGGGGUGAAAUCCCGGGGCUCAACCUCGGAACUGCCUUUGAUACUGCAAAUCUCGAGUCCGGAAGAGGUGAGUGGAAUUCCUAGUGUAGAGGUGAAAUUCGUAGAUAUUAGGAAGAACACCAGUGGCGAAGGCGGCUCACUGGUCCGGUACUGACGCUGAGGUGCGAAAGCGUGGGGAGCAAACAGG